rnacentral:lncRNA from 1 species
AUCCUAGGAAUCCACAAAAUGAACGAGUCGAGAAUUUGGAAUUUCACGAUAAUCGUCUUAUUUUGCUGGUUCUCGUCAGUUAAAGGUAAUUUGAUUAACUAGAUUUGCAGUGUUCUAGAGUAUCUUGGUUUUCUCGCCAAAUUUCAAUUUUUGUCCACCUUUCUGGGUGAGAUUUCCUGAACCACAUAGUCAGGGUCAGAGGUAAACUGCAGUAGCAAGGCCACUACUAAGAAAAACUUUGCUGCCUGUCCUUACAUACAUACCAUACAUGAACACAUUCAGCUACAGUCCAUCCUACUGUAUGAAAACUGCCACUUAUUGCAUUAGUUUUCAUUUUUGUACAGCUUUGGACAAGAUUUGUUUUGUUUUUAAUAAUAUUAUAAUUAGAAUACACAACAUACAAUAAAUAUGUGUAGUUAGUUAA